CCCCUUUUGUUUGGACGGGACUCGGCCUAUAUUAGAGACGUCUCCUCGGAGACUAUGGCGAUAAACGCCGUUCGUAAUAGGCAGAGCGGACCCGGGGGCAGUACCCGGCGCCUCCACCAGUUUCGUCCGCCCCAAUGGUUUCUCGUUAGAGACAGGGGCGGACUUUAAGGGGGCGAACCAGGAUCGACGCAUGUUGAAAGGGACGAUUUUCGCUCGGCAUGGCACCACCGUUAUCGGGCCAUCGCAAUAGUUGCCAACGACAACUUUGCUGAGGCUCGCGCAGCUGCUUAAUGCAGCCUAGCGACCUGAACUGAAUCCCUGCCGUUUUGCAACGUCAGGUGGGGUCUGUCGGGCACCUAGCAACAGAAGCCCGGCAUU
rnacentral:tmRNA from 1 species